UACGGAGGGGGCUAGCGUUGUUCGGAAUUACUGGGCGUAAAGCGCACGUAGGCGGAUCAGUUAGUCGGGGGUGAAAUCCCGGGGCUCAACCCCGGAACUGCCUUCGAUACUGGAGAGCUUGAAUCCGGGAGAGGUGAGUGGAACUGCGAGUGUAGGGGUGAAAUUCGUAGAUAUUCGCAAGAACACCAGUGGCGAAGGCGGCUCACUGGCCCGGUACUGACGCUGAGGUGCGAAAGCGUGGGGAGCAAACAGG
rnacentral:rRNA from 1 species